AACAGACAGUGUUAUUUUGCUGAAAAAGGUGAAGAAAAUACUAGAGCUCCACAUUGCUCAGAUUUCUCAGUGGACCCUAAGCAGUAAGGCUCCACAGAACACCAGGCUUCCUCUGAUACCAUCCCAGCAGGGAGGUGGAAGAAUAAACUCCGGGGGGCUGGAAGUCCCAGCUCCCUCUGUGGCCUUGACUGAACAACUGAACACAUAUGCCCACCCCACCACAGCCAAGAGAGGUGUUCAUUUCAGCCUGUCGCUUCAGUCAUGUCCGACUCUGUGUGACCCCAUAGACGGCAGCCCACCAGGCUCCCCCGUCCCUGGGAUUCUCCAGGCAAGAACGUUGGAAGAGGGGAGAAAGUACCAAAUUACAGCGUUAAUUAAUGGUAGUGAAAUUCUUUGUCUUCUUCCUCACUUAGAGAUAUUUUGUCCCUGCUUAAACCUGAUAUUGGCUUUGGGCUGGGAUAUUCUUAUGAUAUUGAGUGCUUUUAAUAAGAAAGCUUCUGAUGUCAAAUGACUUUAUAGACCUAAAGAUUUGAUGAUCUAAUAUUUUCUUUUUAUAAUAUUUAUAUAAUAAACUAUAUUCAUAGAAUUCCUAAUGUUGAAUCAUCCUUGCAUUUUCAGAAUAAAUAUCAUUUGGACUCAAU